rnacentral:rRNA from 1 species
AGAGCGAACGCUGGCGGCAGGCCUAACACAUGCAAGUCGAGCGCCCGUAGCAAUACGGGAGCGGCAGACGGGAUAGUAACACGUGGGAACGCGCCCUUCGGUUCGGAAUAACUCAGGGAAACUUGAGCUAAUACCGAAUACGCCCUUACGGGGAAAGAUUUAUUGCCGAAGGAACGGCCCGCGUCCGAUUAGCUAGUUGGUGAGGUAAUGGCUCACCAAGGCUACGAUCGGUAGCUGGUCUGAGAGGAUGACCAGCAUCACUGGGACUGAGACACGGCCCAGACUCCUACGGGAGGCAGCAGUGGGGAAUAUUGGACAAUGGGCGCAAGCCUGAUCCAGCCAUGCCGCGUGGAUGAUGAAGGCCUUAGGGUUGUAAAGUCCUUUUAACGGGAAGAUAAUGACGGUACCGUAGAAUAAGCCCCGGCUAACUUCGCGCCAGCAGCCGC